rnacentral:rRNA from 1 species
GAUGAACGCUGGCGGCGUGCCUAAUACAUGCAAGUCGAGCGAACGGACGAGAAGCUUGCUUCUCUGAUGUUAGCGGCGGACGGGUGAGUAACACGUGGAUAACCUACCUAUAAGACUGGGAUAACUUCGGGAAACCGGAGCUAAUACCGGAUAAUAUUUUGAACCGCAUGGUUCAAAAGUGAAAGACGGUCUUGCUGUCACUUAUAGAUGGAUCCGCGCUGCAUUAGCUAGUUGGUAAGGUUACGGCUUACCAAGGCAACGAUGCAUAGCCGACCUGAGAGGGUGAUCGCCCACACGAGAACUGAGACACGGACCAGGCUCCUACGGGAGGCAGCAGUAGGGAAUCGUCGGCAGUGGUCGAAAGCCUGACGGAGCAACGCCACGUGAGUGAUGAAGGUCUUCGGAUCGUAAAACUCUGUUAUUAGGGAAGAACAUAUGUGUAAGUAACUGUGCACAUCUUGACGGUACCUAAUCAGAAAGCCACGGCUAACUACGUG